GGUCAAGUGAAUAAGCGCAUACGGUGGAUGCCUUGGCGGUAGGAGGCGAAGAAGGACGUGGUAGUCUGCGAAAAGCUUCGGGGAGCUGACAAGCGAGCGUUGAUCCGGAGGUAUCCGAAUGGGGAAACCUGACUGUCAAAAGGCAGUCAUUAGCAUCUGAAUACAUAGGAUGCUAAAGCGAACCUAGGGAACUGAACCAUCUAAGUACCUAGAGGAAAAGAAAUCAACCGAGAUUCCCUUAGUAGUGGCGAGCGAACGGGGGUUAGCCUAAAAGUCAACAAAGUGCUAGUGGAGCAAUCUGGAAAGUUUGGCCAUAGACGGUGAUAGCCCGGUACACGAAAGAGUUUUGUUGAUGAAUGUUGAGUAGGGCGGGACACGUGUUAUCCUGUCUGAAGAAGGGGGGCCCACCCUCCAAGGCUAAAUACUACCUACCGACCGAUAGUGAACGAGUACCGUGAGGGAAAGGUGAAAAGAACCCCGUAAAGGGGAGUGAAAUAGAAUCUGAAACCGUAUGCGUACAAGCAGUGGGAGCAUCUUUUAAGAUGUGACUGCGUACCUUUUGUAUAAUGGGUCAGCGAGUUACUUUCAGUGGCGAGGUUAACCGUUAGGGGAGCCGAAGGGAAACCGAGUCUGAAUAGGGCGAAUUAGUCGCUGUGAGUAGACCCGAAACCGGGCGAUCUAGCCAUGGCCAGGGUGAAGGUAGGGUAGUUCCUACUGGAGGCCCGAACCCACUAACGUUGAAAAGUUAGGGGAUGAGUUGUGGUUAGGAGUGAAAGGCUAAUCAAGCUCGGAGAUAGCUGGUUCUCCCCGAAAACUAUUUAGGUAGUGCCUCAUAUAUCACUCUUGGGGGUAGAGCACUGUUUCGACUAGGGGGGCGUCUAGUCUUACCAAAUCGAGGCAAACUUCGAAUACCGAGAAGUGUAAUUAUGGGAGACACACGGCGGGUGAUAAGGUUCGUCGUGGAAAGGGAAACAGCCCAGACCGUCAGCUAAGGUCCCUAAAUUAUUGCUUAGUGGGAAACGAUGUGGGAAGGCAGAAACAGCCAGGAGGUUGGCUUAGAAGCAGCCAUCCUUUAAAGAAAGCGUAAUAGCUCACUGGUCGAGUCGGCCUGCGCGGAAGAUGUAACGGGGCUAAAGCAAUAUACCGAAGCUGCGGGUACAAGCUUUCUAAGGGAAGUUUGUGCGGUAGGGGAGCGUUCCGUAGGCUGUUGAAGGUGUACCGAGAGGUAUGCUGGAGGUAUCGGAAGUGCGAAUGCUGACAUGAGUAACGAUAAAGGGGGUGAGAGGCCCCCUCGCCGAAAACCCAAGGGUUCCUGCGCAACGUUAAUCGACGCAGGGUGAGUCGGCUCCUAAGGCGAGGCCGAGAGGCGUAGUCGAUGGGAAACCGGUUAAUAUUCCGGUACCUGACAUAACUGCGAUGGGGUGACGGAGAAGGCUAGGCUAGCCGGGUGUUGGAAGUCCUGGUUUAAGCAAGUAGGAAGUGCUCUUAGGUAAAUCCGGGAGCACCUAUUCUGAGACGUGAUGACGAGCCCUCUUUUAGAGGGUGAAGUAGUUGAUGCCCAGCUUCCAAGAAAAACCUCUAAGCAUCAGGUUAUGUGAGACCGUACUCUAAACCGACACAGGUGGGUAGGGUGAGAAUCCUAAGGCGCUUGAGAGAACUCGGGUGAAGGAACUCAGCAAAUUGGCACCGUAACUUCGGGAGAAGGUGUGCCUCUGGUAGGUGAAGAGCCUUGCGCUUGGAGCCGAUAGAGGUUGCAGUGACCAGGUGGCUGCGACUGUUUAUUAAAAACACAGCACUCUGCAAACUCGUAAGAGGAAGUAUAGGGUGUGACGCCUGCCCGGUGCCGGAAGGUUAAUUGAUGGGGUCAGCCGUAAGGUGAAGCUCUUGAUCGAAGCCCCGGUAAACGGCGGCCGUAACUAUAACGGUCCUAAGGUAGCGAAAUUCCUUGUCGGGUAAGUUCCGACCUGCACGAAUGGCGUAACGAUGGCCACACUGUCUCCACCCGAGACUCAGUGAAAUUGAAUUGGCUGUGAAGAUGCAGUGUACCUGCGGCAAGACGGAAAGACCCCGUGAACCUUUACUAUAGCUUUGCACUGGAUUUUGAAUCUGCUUGUGUAGGAUAGGUGGGAGGUGAUGAAGCCGGGACGCCAGUUUCGGUGGAGCCGACCUUGAAAUACCACCCUAGUACAUUUGGAAUUCUAACCUAGAUCCGUUAUCCGGGUCGGGGACAGUGCAUGGUGGGUAGUUUGACUGGGGCGGUCUCCUCCUAAAGGGUAACGGAGGAGCGCGAAGGUACCCUCAGCGCGGUCGGAAAUCGCGUGUUGCGUGCAAAGGCAAAAGGGUGCUUGACUGCGAGACGGACAGGUCGAGCAGGGUCGAAAGACGGUCUUAGUGAUCCGGUGGUUCUUUGUGGAAGGGCCAUCGCUCAACGGAUAAAAGGUACUCCGGGGAUAACAGGCUGAUACCGCCCAAGAGUUCAUAUCGACGGCGGUGUUUGGCACCUCGAUGUCGGCUCAUCACAUCCUGGGGCUGUAGCCGGUCCCAAGGGUAUGGCUGUUCGCCAUUUAAAGUGGUACGCGAGCUGGGUUUAGAACGUCGUGAGACAGUUCGGUCCCUAUCUGCCGUAGGCGUUGGAGAUUUGAGAGGGGCUGCUCCUAGUACGAGAGGACCGGAGUGGACGGACCUCUGGUGUUCCGGUUGUCACGCCAGUGGCAUUGCCGGGUAGCUAUGUCCGGACGGGAUAACCGCUGAAAGCAUCUAAGCGGGAAGCCCUCCUCAAGAUGAGAUCUCCCUGAGCCUAUAAGGUUCCUAAAGGGUCGUUGGAGACGACAACGUUGAUAGGCGGGGUGUGGAAGCGCAGUAAUGUGUGAAGCUAACCCGUACUAAUAGCCCGUGAGUCUUGACCAUAU
rnacentral:rRNA from 1 species